rnacentral:ncRNA from 2 species
UUAUCUUUGCAAAACUUUGGUUUUCAAGCUAUUGAAAAUAAUAGGGAAUUGGGUGAAAAUCCCAAACUGUCCCCGCAACUGUAAAUCGCAAUAAUUAUUUCUAUAACAAACCACUGUGAAAACGGGAAGGUAUAGAAAAGUGAAAGUCAGGAGACCUGCCAAAAUGAUAACUCAAAA